rnacentral:rRNA from 1 species
GCCGCGUGUAUGAAGAAGGCCUUCGGGUUGUAAAGUACUUUCAGCGGGGAGGAAGGUGUUGUGGUUAAUAACCGCAGCAAUUGACGUUACCCGCAGAAGAAGCACCGGCUAACUCCGUGCCAGCAGCAGCAGCUCUGGCGAAUCCGGGC